UGGGGAAUCUUCCGCAAUGGACGAAAGUCUGACGGAGCAACGCCGCGUGAGUGAAGAAGGUUUUCGGAUCGUAAAACUCUGUCUUUUGGGGCGAACGUGAGUAUGGUGAACAAUCAUAGUCAGUGACGGUACCAAAGGAGGAAGCCACGGCUAACUACGUGCCAGCAGCCGCGGUAAUACGUAGGUGGCAAGCGUUGUCCGGAAUUAUUGGGCGUAAAGAGCGCGUAGGCGGGAUAGUCAGUCUGUUGUAAAAGUGCGGGGCUCAACCCCGUGAUCGCAAUGGAAACAGCUAUUCUUGAGUGCAGGAGAGGAAAGUGGAAUUCCCAGUGUAGCGGUGAAAUGCGUAGAUAUUGGGAGGAACACCAGUGGCGAAGGCGACUUUCUGGACUGUGUCUGACGCUGAGGCGCGAAAGCCAGGGGAGCGAACGGGAUUAGAUACCCCGGUAGUCCUGGCCGUAAACGAUGGGUACUAGGUGUGGGAGGUAUCGACCCCCUUCCGUGCCGGAGUUAACGCAAUAAGUACCCCGCCUGGGGAGUACGAUCGCAAGACUGAAACUCAAAGGAAUUGACGGGGUCAUAGCUGUUUCCUG
rnacentral:rRNA from 1 species